CCCCUGUCCUUGAAAUGUAUCUUCUGACCCUGUUCCUGUACUGGCAGCCACUUGAAGGACAUUGCCUUGACAGCGUAAUGUGAUACUGCAAGCACCAGGACAGUUUUGUAGCUGAAAUUCCCGUAAGGCCUCUGCAUAAACUCAAGAUUCUAGCAGGUGUUCAAGAAAACCCCAAUCCAAUCAUGGUGAACUGAGAGUAAACAGGGGAAAGAAGAAUUGGAGUCUGAUUGUAACCAAGAAAGUUCACCUGUGGUGGGGUGACCACAUGUCCUCCUCCAAGCAAGUCUUACAACCAAAGAUAUUUAUUAUAAAAUGAAACUAAAUCUGUCUAUGGUAAAAGCACUUAAUAUUGCUGUUUAAAAACUAUCUUAACCUAGAUUUAAUGCACUAUUUAUCAAGCAUCUGUGUCAACAUUGUAUUAAAUAGAAAAGAAAUGCUAUCUA